CAUCUGCCCUCUUGGACAGUAAAUAAGUUGCUGAGCUAGCUUGUUCAUUGAGCUGGAAUUUGGUUGGUGCUGGUAGCGCAGCCAUGCUGUCACAAGGAGCAGUUCAGUUGUUCUGUGGCCUCAAAUGUCAAACUAGGUCAUUAGUCUCCCAAGAGUUUGGACCACUGGAGUGUGGGCAACUCUCAAAAGAGCCUACUUGAAAAUGCUGUUGAAAACACGUUUCAUGUCAUUCUGCAGAGGUUGUACCGUGGCUCAUGGGCCUCAGUAAGGAAACUACUGGCCAAAAUAUGACUUCAGCUGUAAUUGGCUCAAGGAACCUUUAUGGAAGCAGGGAGACUUUUGGCUAGGUCAUCCCCUUUCUAUAUAAAUCUGCAGCAGGUAACUCCCCCUCUGGGACACAGAAAGGCUGAUCCUAUGGGACCAGGGCAGAGAAGGGUGCUGAAACAGGCCAUGAAGGAGGCCACGAAAGAUGAGGAGGUCAACAAGGCAUUAAUACCAGGACAUUUCAUUCUGGAACACUGCAGAACUAGCCUCCCACACAAUAAGCAUGGGAAAGCUGAAAACGAGCAGGUUGAUGACAGUUCUGACAGACCCGGCACCUGCCCAGCAGUAACAAGACCAGCAGUCACACCUUCAGUGGAAACCUGGAGAGAAGAGGGAAAAUAAAAGGCACACCCCACUCCCACCCAGCAGCUCUUACAAACUGUCCUUUUGUUUGCAGAUGUGGAGGGAUUUUACAGUUAUGAUCACUGCCACAGAAGGAACGAGGCUUUAACUAAGUGGGGAGACUGAGCAACUGAGAAUAUCAUUUGUAAUAAAAGAGUUCAUGAGCCACUUCCACUGGCAUUUACAGAAUCUCCAGCUCAGAUGAUUCUGACACUGAUGUCAGAUCACACACUAUGCCGGAGACAAGCCUGCUUUCGACAAGCUUUCCCAUACAGAGAUGUAGAUUUGGAAGCACUCAGUCCCACAGUGUGAGGCCACACUCUAUGACCAGAAACGUACUCAGGUUGUGAUCUCCAUUUCAGAACUGCGGCACGAAAGGACCAGAAGACAGACAGAAAAGGACCUCUGUGAACUUACAGCCACCGCGGUACAGUGGAAAAACAUCAUGGCAGCAAUCCAGAUCUGGUAGUAGCAUUUCACCCUUCCCACAGUGGCAUUCUAUUCAUGUGAAAGCUGGCCAAGCUGUAAUUGCUGAGGCUCCCGGCAGUCACGUCACCUAACUGCACUCAUACAAAAGAGGGCGGCAGACCUUAUUACGUAAAUCUGGCACUUCAUUUGUAGAAUUGGGAUUUCAGGGUUGCAGCCUUCCAGUGAUGCCGGACAGGAACUUCAAGUUUGCAUGCUUUGUGUAUAUGAUGACUUACUGGCUAGCUCAUGGUUUGAUAAGGAAUUCUGUGCAGAUGGGAUAUAACUUUAGGUGGCAUCAGACAAUUCUCAGACAUAGGAUAUGACUUCAGCUGCGUGGCUCACGCUUGAAAACCACAUUAACAGUGAAAUCAUGGAUAUAUGCUGUAUGUUCACCCAAAUUCUGGUUACCUGAAUCAGCACAGCAGAGUAGCGUGUGCUGCAUGCUUCACACAAUCACAAAGUAUGUUAUCUUCUGCUACAACAAGCAGCUUUGUAGCACUCCAAGCUAGACUCAGAGCAGAACACAACAGACGAUGUUGACAUUGUCAGUACAGAUCCUAAGAACUACAAAGUUCUGUUUCACUGCUGAACUGAUUUAGUGUGCAAAUACCUGAACGGACAGGAAACUGCUUCAAGUGAGGCACCAUCUCCAGCACCACAGCCCAUCUGGCACAGCAGUCAGGAACUCGAGCCCAGCUUUUCCACAGGAGUCUGAGAACACUAAGGGAGCUGAGGGGAGUACCGCACCACUGGGAAAUCCUCCGCAGAGAUUAAGACAAACUCCGCCCCGUAAGGAUUUACUGCACACAAAUGUUUACAGCAAGUGAAAAUCCCACCUUCGGCAAGGCAGUUCUUUUAACUACAGAGUCUUGGAUCACAGUGUCAGUUGUAUGUGUGCAAAGCUGUAUUCUUGCAAUAAAUGCACAGGGCUCCGGAUUCCAUCUGUGAUCCUGCCCCGUGUUUCAAAGCCGUGGGGCACGUUGUCCUCUUAGGUGAGGUGGGGCAGCACACCAGUGCAAAUUAUCUCCUGCAACUGGGAACCAUAGCACCACAUGAAUAUGCUUCAUUAGCCUGCCUGGGUGCUGUGCUAAUAAUGGAAUUUACCUGGCACACGGGGGACUUUCCAAAGGCAUCUAGGAAAUUAGAGC